AUUGAACGCUGGCGGCAGGCCUAACACAUGCAAGUCGAGCGGCAGCGGGGAGUAGCUUGCUACUUUGCCGGCGAGCGGCGGACGGGUGAGUAAUGCCUAGGAAUCUGCCUCAUAGUGGGGGAUAACUCGGGGAAACUCGAGCUAAUACCGCAUAUGUCCUGAGGGAUAAAGCGUGGGAUCUUCGGACCACGCGCUAUGAGAUGAGCCUAGGUCGGAUUAGCUAGUUGGUGGGGUAAAGGCCUACCAAGGCGACGAUCCGUAGCUGGUCUGAGAGGAUGAUCAGCCACACUGGGACUGAGACACGGCCCAGACUCCUACGGGAGGCAGCAGUGGGGAAUAUUGCACAAUGGGCGCAAGCCUGAUGCAGCCAUGCCGCGUGUAUGAAGAAGGCCUUCGGGUUGUAAAGUACUUUCAGCGAGGAGGAAGGCGUUAAGGUUAAUAACCUUGGCGAUUGACGUUACUCGCAGAAGAAGCACCGGCUAACUCCGUGCCAGCCGCCGCCGUAAUAC
rnacentral:rRNA from 1 species